rnacentral:rRNA from 1 species
GCAUACGUCCUACGGGAGAAAGGGGGCUUCGGCUCCCGCUAUUGGAUGAGCCUAUGUCGGAUUAGCUAGUUGGUGAGGUAAAGGCUCACCAAGGCAACGAUCCGUAGCUGGUCUGAGAGGAUGAUCAGCCACAUCGGGACUGAGACACGGCCCGAACUCCUACGGGAGGCAGCAGUGGGGAAUAUUGGACAAUGGGGGCAACCCUGAUCCAGCCAUGCCGCGUGUGUGAAGAAGGCCUUCGGGUUGUAAAGCACUUUCAGCGAGGAAGAACGCCUAGUGGUUAAUACCCACUAGGAAAGACAUCACUCGCAGAAGAAGCACCGGCUAACUCCGUGCCAGCAGCCGCGGUAAUACGGAGGGUGCAAGCGUUAAUCGGAAUUACUGGGCGUAAAGCGCGCGUAGGUGGCUUGAUAAGCCGGUUGUGAAAGCCCCGGGCUCAACCUGGGAACGGCAUCCGGAACUGUCAAGCUAGAGUGCAGGAGAGGAAGGUAGAAUUCCCGGUGUAGCGGUGAAAUGCGUAGAGAUCGGGAGGAAUACCAGUGGCGAAGGCGGCCUUCUGGACUGACACUGACACUGAGGUGCGAAAGCGUGGGUAGCAAACAGGAUUAGAUACCCUGGUAGUCCACGCCGUAAACGAUGUCGACCAGCCGUUGGGUGCCUAGCGCACUUUGUGGCGAAGUUAACGCGAUAAGUCGACCGCCUGGGGAGUACGGCCGCAAGGUUAAAACUCAAAUGAAUUGACGGGGGCCCGCACAAGCGGUGGAGCAUGUGGUUUAAUUCGAUGCAACGCGAAGAACCUUACCUACUCUUGACAUCCUGCGAACUUGUGAGAGAUCACUUGGUGCCUUCGGGAACGCAGAGACAGGUGCUGCAUGGCUGUCGUCAGCUCGUGUUGUGAAAUGUUGGGUUAAGUCCCGUAACGAGCGCAACCCUUGUCCUUAUUUGCCAGCACGUAAUGGUGGGAACUCUAAGGAGACUGCCGGUGACAAACCGGAGGAAGGUGGGGACGACGUCAAGUCAUCAUGGCCCUUACGAGUAGGGCUACACACGUGCUACAAUGGCCGGUACAAAGGGUUGCCAACUCGCGAGAGUGAGCUAAUCCCGAAAAGCCGGUCUCAGUCCGGAUCGGAGUCUGCAACUCGACUCCGUGAAGUCGGAAUCGCUAGUAAUCGUGAAUCAGAAUGUCACGGUGAAUACGUUCCCGGGCCUUGUACACACCGC